rnacentral:rRNA from 1 species
GACGAACGCUGGCGGCGUGCUUAACACAUGCAAGUCGAACGGAAAGGCCCUGCUUUUGUGGGGUGCUCGAGUGGCGAACGGGUGAGUAACACGUGAGUAACCUGCCCUUGACUUUGGGAUAACUUCAGGAAACUGGGGCUAAUACCGGAUAGGAGCUCCUGCUGCAUGGUGGGGGUUGGAAAGUUUCGGCGGUUGGGGAUGGGCUCGCGGCUUAUCAGCUUGUUGGUGGGGUAGUGGCUUACCAAGGCUUUGACGGGUAGCCGGCCUGAGAGGGUGACCGGCCACCUUGGGACUGAGAUACGGCCCAGACUCCUACGGGAGGCAGCAGUGGGGAAUAUUGCACAAUGGGCGGAAGCCUGAUGCAGCAACGCCGCGUGCGGGAUGACGGCCUUCGGGUUGUAAACCGCUUUCGCCUGUGACGAAGCGUGAGUGACGGUAAUGGGUAAAGAAGCACCGGCUAACUACGUG